CUAGGCACCAGAAGCCGAUGAAGGUCGUAGGAGGCUGCGAAAAGCCUCGGGGAGCCGCCAACCAGGCUUCGAUCCGAGGAUUACCGAAUGGGGAAACCCGGCUGGAGUAAUGUCCAGUCAUUUCUCUCUGAAUAAAUAGGAGAGUCAAAGGUAACGAGGGGAAGUGAAACAUCUCAGUACCCUCAGGAAGAGAAAACAACCGUGAUUCCGUUAGUAGUGGCGAGCGAAAGCGGAAGAGGCUAAACCAAUCAUGUGCCAAGCCGGCAGGCGUUGCAUGAUCGGUGUCGUGGGACUAAAUGAAAUUAACUGCCGUUAAUUUAACAAGUCAGAAAAUAGUGAAAUAGAUGAAGGACGUGGGAAAGUCCGGCAUAGAAGGUGAGACCCCUGUAGUCGAAAUUUCAUUAUCUUGUUUUUAGUAUCCCAAGUAAUACCGGACUCGUGUAAUCCGGUAUGAAUCUGGCGGGACCACCCGCUAAGCCUAAAUACUCUCUGGUGACCGAUAGUGAACAAGUACCGUGAGGGAAAGGUGAAAAGAACCCCGCAAGGGGAGUGAAAUAGAAUCUGAAACCGUUUGCAUACAAACCGUUGGAGCUGCCUUGUGCAGUGACAGCGUGCCUUUUGAAGAAUGAGUCUACGAGUUAGUGUGAUGUAGCAAGGUUAACCCGUCGAGGGGAAGCCGUAGCGAAAGCGAGUCUGAAUAGGGCGAAUAAGUUGCAUCAUCUAAACCCGAAGCGAGGUGAUCUCGCCAUGACCAGGUUGAAGCGCGGGUAAGACCGCGUGGAGGACCGAACCCACUAAAGUUGAAAAUUUAGGGGAUGAGUUGUGGCUAGGGGUGAAAGACCAAUCAAACUUCGUGAUAGCUGGUUCUCUCCGAAAUGCAUUUAGGUGCAGCGUCACGUGUUUCUUACUGGAGGUAGAGCUACUGGAUGGCCGAGGGGUCCUACAAGAUUACCAACGUCAGCCAAACUCCGAAUGCCAGUAAGUGAGAACGUGGCAGUGAGACAGUGGGGGAUAAGCUUCAUUGUCGAGAGGGAAACAACCCAGAACAGCAACUAAGGUCCCAAAGCCUGUGCUAAGUGGAAAAGGAUGUGAAGUCGCAUAGACAACCAGGAGGUUGGCUUAGAAGCAGCCACCCUUAAAAGAGUGCGUAAUAGCUCACUGGUCAAGUGAUUUCGCGCCGACAAUGUAACGGGGCUCAAGCACAGCACCGAAGUUCUGUCAUUCACACACUAUCCCGGUCGCAAGAUCCAGGAGUGUGGAUGGGUAGGAGAGCGUUGUGUAACUAGUGAAGCGGCGGAGGAAUCCAGCCGUGGAAGUUACACAAGUGAGAAUGUAGACAUGAGUAGCGAAAGACGGGUGAGAAACCCGUCCACCGAAUGACCAAGGGUUCCUGAGCCAGGCUAAUCCGCUCAGGGUAAGUCGGGUCCUAAGGCGAGGCCGACAGGCGUAGUCGAUGGACAACUGGUUGAUAUUCCAGUACCCACAAUAAACCGACCGUGACGAAUCAAUAAUGCUAAGUGUUUGAAGUUGGCUAGCAAUAGCUGAUGGAGCGCACGACCCAAGUUGGUAGUAGUCAAGCAAUGGAGAGACGCAGGAAGGUAGUCCAACCCAGGCGAUGGUUGACCUGGGGUAAGAGUGUAGGAGGUUCUGUAGGCAAAUCCGCAGAACAAUCUCUGAGACUUAAUGCCGAGCCGUAAGGCGAAGUGGAUGAUCCUAUGCUGCCAAGAAAAUCUUCUAGCGAGGUUUAUAGUGGCCCGUACCCGAAACCGACACAGGUGGUCAGGUAGAGAAUACCAAGGUGAUCGAGAGAAUCGUGGUGAAGGAACUCGGCAAAAUACCCCCGUAACUUCGGGAGAAGGGGGGCUAAUUUUUGUGUAGAGGUUUACCUUCGAAGCAUAAGUUAGACGCUAAACGGCGGUGGUAACUAUAACCAUCCUAAGGUAGCGAAAUUCCUUGUCGGGUAAGUUCCGACCUGCACGAAUGGCGUAACGACUUGAGCGCUGUCUCCACCAUGAACUCGGCGAAAUUGCAGUACGAGUAAAGAUGCUCGUUACGCGCGGAAAGACGGAAAGACCCCGGGACCUUUACUAUAUCUUGAUAUUGGUACUCGGAACGUUCUGUGUAGCAUAGGUGGGAGACUUUGAAGCGGCACGCCAGUGUUCGUGGAGUCAAAAAUUGAAAUACCACUCUGAACGUUUUGAGUUUCUAACCUCGGCCCAUUAUCUGGGUCAGGGACAGUGUCUGGUGGGUAGUUUAACUGGGGCGGUUGCCUCCCAAAAAGUAACGGAGGCGCUCAAAGGUUCCCUCAGCCUGGUUGGUAAUCAGGUGUCGAGUGUAAGUGCACAAGGGAGCUUAACUGUGAGACAGACAUGUCAAGCAGGUGCGAAAGCAGGAACUAGUGAUCCGGCGGUGGCUUGUGGAAGCGCCGUCGCUCAACGGAUAAAAGGUACCCCGGGGAU
rnacentral:rRNA from 1 species